UGCAUUGCUACAUGUGCACGACAGGAUCAGACUAAGGACAAUCUGGGUGCUCUUCGCAGUCUUUGUAAUGGAAGGUGUGGAGGCAGGGAUGUGGCUGAGACGUACUGUAGACUGGGUCUAACCAGGAAGCAGAUCGCCUUGGGGAAUAAAGUCAAUCAAUUAGCUGGUGUGUGUAACUCUUCAGUUUAUACUGUCAUAGAGCAUAAGAAUGGUUUAUACUGUAAGUUGUAAAGAAACAGUAAAGGAUGUUCAUAUUAAUACUAACUGAUGUCUAAACCAUUACAUUAACAAACUCUUAUAAACCUUCUAUAGAAGGUGCCAUGUUAGAAAGCAGCUGUAUGAGUGAAUGGAAUUACUACUGUAUAAAAGGUGAAGUAAUGGUGGAGAGAUCUCAGUAAUAUAAAGCCCUCCAGGCUCAGUGUUAAUGGUACAUCAGUAAAAUGAGGAGUCAAGACACUUAUCUGCUACAUGAUAUUUGCGAAAAUGCAGAGCAAAUACAUUAAACAUUAGAAGGGUCUGUAAAAGGCCAGAUAGGCUGUUAAAAAAAUUAUGCCAAUGAGCUAAAAUCCACUUACUGAAGGUAAUAGUAAUGACGGGCUAUUUGAGCACUUAGCAUGAAUUAAUACCACUGACAGGCGUGUUUUUAACAGUGACCUUGUGGCCUCUCGAUCCCAUUUGCAGGUUGUUUAAAAGCUGUGGCUUGAACAAUUUAUGAGUUAAUUACACAGGAAUCAGUAUUCAGCCUCUUCACCCCCAGUACAAACCAUACUGGCCUCUUAUAUGCACUAAGUCAGUAUAUGUCAGCAUAACAAUACUGAGUGCUGUCAAAAAAUUCAGCUGCUAAAAUGUGUCCAGACUCUGUGUGGUUGACUGUGCAAUAUAUAUUUGUAUGUGUUUGCCAGUAGGUGCUCCUUUAUCGGUGACCUGUUAAAGCUCAAUGGAUAAACUGCUGCUCAGCACAGACAUGCCUAGACUCUGGAUCUUGGCACUGAAAAUGAACAGCAACUGGGAAAACAGAACAAAUUAACCAGCCCCAGCCCUUAAAUAAAGUGAAACUGGGCCUUGUUUUGACCUUCCGUUGCCAUAGCAGCAUCUCCCAGGAAGUUGUUCUUAGAGCUGGACAUACAAUGGUGGACAAAUAAGGUGAUGCCUUCUGAGAAGACAAAUUGUCUAUCUGCUCUUAUUGUGUAUAUCAGAGAUUAGAAUGGGAGAGUGCUGCAUAGAGGGAGGAGGUACGUAGGGAAAUGUGUGUGUGAUGUGUGCCCGUCAACGUGCAUGGGAGUUCUUGUCCUCAGUAGGACAUUUAAUGUCUAUAUAUGCAUUUUUAUACAAAAGACUUUUAGUGUGCCUGUAAUUACAUCCAGAUUACACCAACUUGUCCAGAGGUUCAAGUCCUUUAAUUAAAAAACUCCCAUUUUUAUUCUUCAGCAUUGUUAUGAUUUAUGAGCCACAAGUUUAAUAUUCCAUACAACACUGUUUUAAGCCCAAGGCUGGAGUAGAACAAGCUUUGCCCUGUAGGUUGAAAUGAAGUCAGCGUUAUCAGGUACCCACUGUUUUCAUUGUUGUUUGUUUGAUUUAUGUUUGUUGCAGUUUUACAAACCUAUAAAGUUUAAAAGGAAAAAUGAAAAAUGCAAAUGAAAGCUUUUCCAACAAAUGAGCCAUUUACGCGAGCACUGUAGAGUAUUUCCCUUAGUUUGGUAACAAUAGGAAUAUUUCUGACAUUUUAUCCCUCAUGAUUUCUGCCUGUACCCUGCACAACUCUCUUUUUUCCUCUUCUCUUUCCAUCAUCCCCUCUUCAACUUUAAUGCAGUUAAGGCAAGGUUGAGGAGGGCAUGUCUCUGUUAUUUUUUCCGCAAGUCAGUGCAUUUUGUUCCUAACGAAACAUCAAUUAUAGCCCUUCACUGUGAGGGCCGUGAGGGUGUGCCUGUGUGCAGCAUGGUGGUUAUUAAGAAGCCAGGGCAGCUUCAUAAACAAGCUGUUGUACUGAGAGAACUAAGUAUGCGAUGUUUUUAUUCUAGAACAGGCUUGUUUUUGUUGUGACGGAAGGUGGGUUGUUAAGCUGAUCAUUAGUUUAACAUUCUGUGAGCCAUAGGCUGACCGAAGUUUUAAAGUUUGGACUGUUGCCCACAUCAGCUGCUGCAAGAGCAGCCAUUUUGACUGCAUACACAGUACGCAGGCAAUUUUCCAGGCAAUUAUCUGUUGUAUAUUUUCGAACUUUGGGCAGAGCACCUGUUUCCUAUUGCUUUCAAUCUUUGUGCUAAGCUAAGCUACAUAGCUCCUGUCUCCAGCCCCCUACUUAAGGCACAGUUAUAAAGUUGUGUAAAUCAUGUCGUCUAACACUGGGCGAUAACACAAGUGUAUGCCCCGACAUUUCAAACUACACCUUUAAUGUAACCUAUUCUUUAUGCUACCUUAACUAACUUUGCUUUGCCUUUUAGGCUGUUGAACUCUCACUGAUGAGAUCUUACUGACAUCUGCUGCUUCAUAUUCCUUUGUGCUUCCAUGGAGAUCAUCAAGGCCACCCAAGUUUCCUUGCUCCCUCAGGAAGCCCCUACAGCUACCUGGAGCAAUGACACUGUCCCC